UACAGGGGGUGCAAACGUUGCUCGGAAUUAUUGGGCGUAAAGCGCGCGUAGGCGGCUACCUAAGUCGGAUGUGAAAGCCCCUGGCUCAACUGGGGAAGUGCACCCGAAACUGAGUGGCUUGAAUACCAAAGAGGGUCGCGGAAUUCCUGGUGUAGCGGUGAAAUGCGUAGAGAUCAGGAGGAACACCCAUGGCGAAGGCAGCUCUCUGGUCGACCUCUGACGCUGAGACGCGAAAGCGUGGGGAGCGAACGGG
rnacentral:rRNA from 1 species